rnacentral:misc_RNA from 1 species
AAAAUACACAAGAAAUUAAUUGCAAUCUAAUGCAGCAACAUCUAAAUCCAAGAGAAACAAAAACAUCGAAAUUAAAUUUUCAGUUCAACAGAGAGGCAUAUUAACAAUCAAUCCAUGUUGACUUCUAUAAUUUAUAUAUAAAUAAUGCCCAGCCAACCCCAACUAGUUCAGUAUUAAUAUUGUUAUAUAUAAAUAAUGCCAGGACUCGGCAAAGCCCACCAAUUUACUUGAAAAGCUAGGAACAGUGCCAAAAUACCUGAGGCAACUGCAGUCACACUA